GACGAACGCUGGCGGCGUGCUUAACACAUGCAAGUCGAACGGAAAGGCCCUGCUUUUGUGGGGUUCUCGAUUGGCGAACGGGUGAGUAACACGUGAGUAACCUGCCCUUGACUGUGGGAUAACUUCAGGAAACUGGGGCUAAUACCGGGUAUGAUCUCCUGCUCCAUGUGGUGGGAUGGAAAGUGUCGGCGGUUGGGGAUGGACUCGCGGCUUAUCAGCUGGUUGGUGGGGUAGGUGCGUACCAAGGCUUUGACGGGUAGGCGGCCUGAGAGGGUGAACGGCCACAUUGGGACUGAGAUACGGCGCAGAAUCCUACGGGAGGCAGCAGUGGGGAAUAUUGCACAAUGGGCGGACGCCUGAUGCAGCAACGCCGCGUGCGGGAUGACGGGCUUCGGGUUGUAAACCGAUUUCGCCUGUGACGAAGAGUGAGUGACGGUAAUGGGUAAAGAAGCAACGGCUAACUACGUG
rnacentral:rRNA from 1 species